rnacentral:rRNA from 1 species
GAUGAACGCUGGCGGCGUGCCUAAUACAUGCAAGUCGAGCGAACGGACGAGAAGCUUGCUUGUCUGAUGUUAGCGGCGGACGGGUGAGUAACACGUGGAUAACCUACCUAUAAGACUGGGAUAACUUCGGGAAACCGGAGCUAAUACCGGAUAAUAUUUUGAACCGCAUGGUUCAAAAGUGAAAGACGGUCUUGCUGUCACUUAUAGAUGGAUCCGCGCUGCAUUAGAUAGUUGGUAAGGUAACGGCUUACCAAGGCAACGAUGCAUAGCCGACCUGAGAGGGUGAUAGGCCACACGGGAGCUGAAACAGGGUCCAGAGGACUAAGGGAGGCAGCAGAAGGGAAUCUGACGCAAUGGGCGAAAGCAUGACGGAGUAACGGCGAGUGAGUGAUGACGGUCCUCCGAGCGUAAAGCUCUGUUAUUAGGGGAGAACAUAUGUGUAAGUAAAUGUGCACAGCUUGACGGUACCUAAUAAGAAAGCCACGGCUAACUACGUG